rnacentral:tRNA from 1 species
UGGGGUGUGGCUCAGUGGUAGAGCACUCGCCUAGCACGUGGGAGGUCCUGGGUUCGAUCUUCAGCACCAGAU